GCCUGGGCUUCUACUGCCUACCCAGGGGGCAUCUGUUUGGGGUGUGGGGUCUGCUUCAUCUUGCCAAACCGGGGGCAGGAGUCUUAGACCCACUGGAGCUUUGGAUCCUUUACCUCCUGUCCCCUUGCUCUGGACACCUGGCCCAGCUGCGUCCUAGGAGGAUGCCUUUGUACAGGAAUCCCAGAAAUUGAAAAACUUGAGUCCCAGGUCUGCCACUCGCUGGCAUAACCUGCACCUCAGUGUACACCUCUGUAAAAUGGAGAGAUGAAGGAUGAAGCUGCUUCCCCUCACCCACAAGGUGGUCAUGAGAAUCUGAUGAGAUGUGGAUUGUAAGCAGUGGGGUUCUAUACAAAGUCCCUAUCUAGACAGAUAAUAAAUCCGGGUGGCUAACCUCCCUCCCAGGAAUGAAUCAUCUGCAACUCUGAAAAGGACACAGCCGCAGGGGUGGUGACAGGGAGGAGUCCUACUCCCAGGCUUCUUUACAGAUCACAGGUAUCAUGUGACUGAAUUUGCCACAGAUUUAGCUAACCUGGGAGACAUCACCAGAAUUUUGCAACCAGCAAGAUUAGUUUGGGGCCCUGCACCCUCCUCUUCUCCUUCUUUCCUUGUGCCUAGUUGCCUGCCAAUGGCCAUUGGUAGGAACAGGCUUAUUCUCCUCCUUUCAGGUAUGACAUCAAAAGCAUGAGCAACAAGAGAAAAAAGAGAUAAAUUGGACUUCAUCAAAUGUAAAACUUAUGUGCGUCAAAAGGUAUUAUCAAGAAAGUGAAAAUACAAUCCACAGAUAUUGCAAAUCGUAUCUCUGGAG
ensembl:lncRNA novel transcript